UACAGAGGGGGCAAGCGUUGUUCGGAAUUACUGGGCGUAAAGGGCGCGUAGGCGGCCUUCUAAGUCGAACGUGAAAUCCCUGGGCUCAACCCAGGAACUGCGUCCGAUACUGAAAGGCUUGAAUCCGGGAGAGGGAUGCGGAAUUCCAGGUGUAGCGGUGAAAUGCGUAGAUAUCUGGAGGAACACCGGUGGCGAAAGCGGACCGCUGGCCCUCUUCUGACGCUGAGGCGCGAAAGCCAGGGGAGCGAACGGG
rnacentral:rRNA from 1 species